AUCUCCCCACACAACGUGUCAUUAUAUUUCAGGAACACGUUUUUACCAUUACAGCAGUGGACUGUAUUCGUUUUCAUGUGAGCAGAGUAUAAAACUAUGGGACAAGUGUAUGAGGCUGCAAUCUUGACGCUUUUUCGCGUCUCAAGGAGGAGCUGACUGUUCGCGCCUGACAAAGGCUGUCAGGUAAAGUGACUCUUCGCCGCUUGAGGAAUAAGAUAACAGGCAGGCAAUUGCAACUUGGUGUGCUGCUGCAUAGCAAUGAGAUGUCCAGGAGAUUUGUUGGAGCAACCGAUUUGUUAUUAAGAAGAUCCACUGAAGAAUUGCCACCUUCACCCGGGGACGAUAACUUCGUGUUUUUGUCACGUUUAAAACCUGACAUUUCGAGUUGCAUUUAUGAACGCCUGCAUCAGAGAGGUUCAAGAAAAAGAAGAUCUCACUGUAUUAAGGCAAUUGCUUAUUUUCCUUAAUUGUAUUGCUGGCUAUGAUGUAACCUUGGGUAAACACAUAUGAAAACGCAUCCUCUAGUUACAUACUUAAAUGAGGAUAACGCAAGUUACGAACACUAAACUAAAAUCUCUUAUAACAACAUAGCCAAAAAAAACAUCAUAUUGCACCUAUGAAAUCUAUUGUUCAUCAAGAAAUAAGUUGUUAGUGCUGGGAAAUCAAAUAAAAAUAGAAAUUACGUAUAAACAUAUGCAUUACUAUUCAUUACAUAGUAAUCAACAAGCAAUUGGAAAUUCAUAUUAAAAACUGCAAUCUGUUUGACCUAUAAUUUUUGGAUUAUGGUUAAAGGGAUACUGAUUUGCAAUAAAUAUGACACUAAUAUUUCAUAACUGUACCAAGUAAAAAAUAAAUUUUGUACUGAAUCCUUAAAUAUUCAUUAACUUGUGCUUUAUUAUUUGAAA